rnacentral:sRNA from 1 species
GCUGGGCACGGUGGCCCAUGACUGUAACCCCAGGGGCUUGGGAGGCAGAGGCAGGAGGAUCGCGAGUUCAAAGCCAGCCUCAGCAAUUUAGCAAGGCACUAAGCAACCCAGUGAGACCCUGUCUCUA